CCUGCCUGUCAGACUGCCAUACCUCCGGCAAACCGGCCCUAAUACCGGAUGGUUGUUUGAACCGCAUGGUUCAAACAUAAAAGGUGGCUUCGGCUACCACUUACAGAUGGACCCGCGGCGCAUUAGCUAGUUGGUGAGGUAACGGCUCACCAAGGCAACGAUGCGUAGCCGACCUGAGAGGGUGAUCGGCCACACUGGGACUGAGACACGGCCCAGACUCCUACGGGAGGCAGCAGUAGGGAAUCUUCCGCAAUGGACGAAAGUCUGACGGAGCAACGCCGCGUGAGUGAUGAAGGUUUUCGGAUCGUAAAGCUCUGUUGUUAGGGAAGAACAAGUACCGUUCGAAUAGGGCGGUACCUUGACGGUACCUAACCAGAAAGCCACGGCUAACUACGUGCCAGCAGCCGCGGUAAUACGUAGGUGGCAAGCGUUGUCCGGAAUUAUUGGGCGUAAAGGGCUCGCAGGCGGUUUCUUAAGUCUGAUGUGAAAGCCCCCGGCUCAACCGGGGAGGGUCAUUGGAAACUGGGGAACUUGAGUGCAGAAGAGGAGAGUGGAAUUCCACGUGUAGCGGUGAAAUGCGUAGAGAUGUGGAGGAACACCAGUGGCGAAGGCGACUCUCUGGUCUGUAACUGACGCUGAGGAGCGAAAGCGUGGGGGAGCGAACAGGAUUAGAUACCCUGGUAGUCCACGCCGUAAACGAUGAGUGCUAAGUGUUAGGGGGUUUCCGCCCCUUAGUGCUGGAACUAAGCAUUAAGCACUCCGGCCUGGGGAGUACGGUCGCAAGACUGAACUCAAAGGAAUUGAGGGGGGCCCGCACAGCUGUGGGAGCAUGUGGUUAAUUCGAAGAACGCGAAGAGCUUACCAGGGCUUGACUUCCUCUGGAAAUCUUAGAAGUAGGACGUCC
rnacentral:rRNA from 1 species